CUACGGGGUGCAGCAGUGAGGAAUAUUGCACAAUGGGGGGAACCCUGAUGCAGCAACGCCGCGUGGAGGAUGACGCAUUUCGGUGUGUAAACUCCUUUUAUAUGUCAAGAAAAUGACGGUAGCAUAUGAAUAAGCACCGGCUAACUCCGUGCCAGCAGCCGCAGUAAUACGGAGGGUGCAAGCGUUACUCGGAAUCACUGGGCGUAAAGGACGCGUAGGCGGGUUGGAAAGUCAGGUGUGAAAUCCUACAGCUUAACUGUAGAGCUGCACUUGAAACUUCUAAUCUAGAGUAUGGGAGGGGGAGAUGGAAUUAGUGGUGUAGGGGUAAAAUCCGUAGAUAUCACUAGGAAUACCUAAAGCGAAGGCGAUCUCCUGGAACAUUACUGACGCUAAGGCGUGAAAGCGUGGGGAGCAAACAGGAUUAGAUACCCCUGUAGUC
rnacentral:rRNA from 1 species